rnacentral:rRNA from 1 species
AUUGAACGCUGGCGGAAUGCUUUACACAUGCAAGUCGAACGGCAGCACGGACUUCGGUCUGGUGGCGAGUGGCGAACGGGUGAGUAACAUAUCGGAACGUAUCCAAUAAUGGGGGAUAACUAAUCGAAAGGUUGGCUAUACCGCAUACGCCCUACGGGGGAAAGCAGGGGAUCUUCGGACCUUGCGUUAAUUGAGCGGCGGAUAUCUGAUUCGCGAGUUGGUGAGGUAAAGGCCCACCAAGGCGACGAGCAGUAGCUUGGCUGGGAGGACGACCAGCCACACGGGAACUGAGACACGGUCCAGACUCCUACGGUAGGCAGCAGUGGGGAAUUGUGGACAAUGGGCGCAAGCCUGAUCCGGCCAGUCCGCGUGAGUGAAGAAGGCCUUCGGGUUGUAAAGCUCUUUCGCAAGGGAAGAAAACUUACUUUCUAAUAAAGAGUGAGGUUGACGGUACCUUGAUAAGAAGCACCGGCUAACUACGUGCCAGCCGCCGCAGUAA